AUCCUAGGAGUGAAGGGUUCUUCCCUUGGCUUGGCAAGAUGUGACAUGCAUCCAGAGGGAUACACGCUUGUGUCUGUGCCAGAGAGCUGUAAUCAUCAUGUGAGUUCCCAGCGUGUCUCAACGCCCAGAGCAGAGCCCUGGUUUGAAGAUCAUCCUGAAGUGUAUUAUUCAGCUGCUGAAAUGAUGCUACAAAAUGAGUAUCAUUUUAUGUUAAAAUGCACGCAAAGCCAAAGGAAAGGAAGAAUGAUGUGCUACAUAGUAGGGAAAGAAGACCGAAAUACAGCAGCAAAACUGAUACAACUGAUCCAUCAGAGGAAGCUGGCACCACAUCACGAAGCUGUGUCAUCCCCAGACGUAGUCAGAAGACUUCAGCAUUCCGAGCCCAUGUUUUGGCUUUGAGACUGGAACAACAUGCAGG
rnacentral:lncRNA from 1 species